rnacentral:rRNA from 1 species
GAUGAACGCUGGCGGCGUGCCUAAUACAUGCAAGUCGAGCGAACAGACGAGGAGCUUGCUCCUCUGACGUUAGCGGCGGACGGGUGAGUAACACGUGGAUAACCUACCUAUAAGACUGGGAUAACUUCGGGAAACCGGAGCUAAUACCGGAUAACAUGUUGAACCGCAUGGUUCAACAGUGAAAGACGGUUUUGCUGUCACUUAUAGAUGGAUCCGCGUCGCAUUAGCUAGUUGGUAAAGUAACGGCUUACCAAGGCAACGAUGCGUAGCCGACCUGAGAGGGUGAUCGGCCACACUGGAACUGAGACACGGUCCAGACUCCUACGGGAGGCAGCAGUAGGGAAUCUUCCGCAAUGGGCGAAAGCCUGACGGAGCAACGCCGCGUGAGUGAAGAAGGUCUUCGGAUCGUAAAACUCUGUUAUUAGGGAAGAACAAAUGUGUAAGUAACUAUGCACGUCUUGACGGUACCUAAUCAGAAAGCCACGGCUAACUACGUG